rnacentral:rRNA from 1 species
UACGUAUGGUGCAAGCGUUAUCCGGAUUUACUGGGUGUAAAGGGAGCGUAGGCGGCCAUGCAAGUCAGAUGUGAAAGCCCGGGGCUCAACCCCGGGACUGCAUUUGAAACUGCGAGGCUUGAGUACAGGAGAGGCAGGCGGAAUUCCUAGUGUAGCGGUGAAAUGCGUAGAUAUUAGGAAGAACACCGGUGGCGAAGGCGGCCUGCUGGACUGUAACUGACGCUGAGGCUCGAAAGCGUGGGGAG